rnacentral:lncRNA from 1 species
UCAGUGGCAAAAGGAAAGGAGGGGAACUAGAGAACAACUAGAAAUGCAGCUUUUGUCAAAAACAUUUAAUUAAAAUGCAAUUUUAAAAAUUAUUCACAGCAAAUGCAGCAAAUAAGAAGUGACUUAGAUGUUUUUCACAGCAAAGCAGUGCUUUUCCAUUUUUCAGAGAUCCCAGUAAGUAUUAUCAACCCAUUUUCCACCCUAGGACACUGAGAAAUCACAGUCAUACGCAAAUUCUGUGAGAGGAAUAUAAGUCAGACCACCAUUUUCUGAAAUGUAUGCCUUCUCCAGCUGUAUUCUCCCGAGUACUACUGUUCUUGCUUGUAACUGAUGAUCAUUACUUAUUUUCCCAGUCACUGUAACACCCCUGGAGAGACCUUCACUGAGCUUAAAUGCCUGGGGACGUACAGGUGGAGAGAAACAGAUUGGUCCUGGUACAUCAGCUCAUCACAUCGGUCUCCGUAUUCAACUGUGGACAGUAUCUGGAGCUGCAGAAGGUAUAAAUUACUCGGGACAAUGACACUUCUGCCCCACAAGCCCAUGCUGACCAAGAUCCUGGUGCCAGGGUGGUCAGUGUGUGUGCUGCCUGGGAGCUGCACAUUUAUUUGAAGAGGAAGAAGCUCCUCUGAUGGGUCUGCUCACCCACAGUCUAGUCAGUGCUAAAAUAAGCACAGCUGUGUUGUCCACCAUCCACAGCUGCACCUUCUGCAGCAUCUUCCACAGAUGAGGCAGCGGCAGCCCCACGGAUGAGCCAGCAUGACCCACACACCAGCCUCAGAGACAACAGCUAUAGGUACUGAUGAGCUGUUGCAUCAAGGAGGUCAUUUGCUUUCAGUUAGUCCUGUAUAAACCACGUCAUUCAGCUGAUAUAACUCCUCUGCCACACAUUCUCUUUCUCUUGUCUCUCACACUGGGCACCCAGAUUUGAGGACUGCACCCCAAGCCACGGCCAGUGUCACCCACCAAGGCAAGCACAGCCCUUCGUGGUGGCCGUGCUUUGCUGCAGCCACAGCCUGUCAUCCUCUGAGACAGCUUUAGCCAGAUAAAAACCUUGUUUAGGCUUUCUCUAUAGACUGGAGGAGUAGGAGGGGAAAAUGCCUCCAGAGAGUAAUUAAUUGUAAGCCUGCCUUUUAAAUUGGUAAAUAUCUGUAAGCUCUGGGAAAGGCUGAUGGUCUCUGACUAACCAGAGGAAACUGCUGAGAGUGGGAACUUUUUCUCUUUUUUUUUGGCAGUGGCCUUGUCUCUCUGGUCCACUUAUUACCUUUAUAACCCUAAAACCAAAGAGGUGCUGUCAUCCCUUCUUCUCAGAUGGGGCAGAUAUAAUGUGGCUUCUUUACCAGAGCCCCUCAUGACUUUAUUGGAAAAGCAGGGAGUUUUGAGCUCUGCUCUCCUGAGCCCUGAGGAAAGGCACAAAAGCCCAGCCUUUUGUCAAUUCCUAAACUGGGAACACACCAGAAAAAUAUAAGAAAAAAAAAAAAAACCAACCCAAAAAGCUACAGCAACAUCUCUCGAGCCUCUAAAGGCUCAUAGUUAGCAAUUAUCUUACAAAGGCUUACUUCAAAAGUAAUUUAUUAUUUUAUUAGCUGUUUGCUGAGAGAUCAAAUAAAUCCAAGGUGCCUAGUCA